ensembl:lncRNA
CUGAAGUCUGCAGGACGGUAGCUCUCCAGGAGCAGGGUUGUAGAUCUCUGGUCUAGGACAACUCACAGGUAUUGCACCGAGUUAAAGACAGCAGUCCAAAAGAGUUAAUAUAACACUUCACUUCAUGAAUGAACAAAGUUGCAUCGAUGAGUUUAAAGUUCGGUGUUUGACAAAACAGAGCAAAAGGAAAGAAACUACAGAAUGCACAGGGUGUUCUUUACUGGACGGUGUACGUUCUGCGGUGGGAGCAGCCUAUAAAACAGCACCGCAUGCACAGGGCCUGGAGAGCAUCACUGAGCAGAGGAGAUGUUUAUCUGGAGAGGACGAUCCUCCCUACAUUAAUCUGCCAAUAAAGGCAGUCAUGUCCUGGACCUUAGAGAUAUGGAAGAUUCUUAACCUGCCAAAAUCCUCUUCUGGGCCAUUAGAGACAGCUGUGAAUGAUUUCUCCAGACCUGUAGCAUGGCCACAGACACAAAGCAAACACAUGCUUAUGGCUGUUUAAACACUGAAACACUGGCUUUCCGCCUGGACCUUUAUGCAACAUGGCUUGAAGUGCUUUCACAGGACAGCCCUUUAAGGACAACUCAACAUUUCGGAGGGGCUUUGUGUCAUUCGGGGGACUGAGACCUGCUCCAAGUCCCAGUUCAUUUUGGCGCCAACAAAGCAACAUGGAAAGAAAGGACUGCUCAUUUCCUUAUCACACUACCUGUUCUUCCCAGGGCAUGUAUUUUCGAAACCCACAAUGACUGUGGGAGCAAUCCGGCUUGUCCCCUUUUCAUCUGCGGUGGCUGUACCUGUAUCUGCACCAAACCAGCUGAUAAACUGGGGUAGAGAAAGCUCUCUGAAUGGUUCUGACUGAAUAAGUCUUUGUAUUCAAGCACCUUCUAUUUUAGAACCUAUUGUUCUUGUUACACGGUAUUAAGAAUUAGUGCUGUAGAGAUUAAUCAUUGCAAGUGUAAAAAUAAAUAAUAAUAAAAAAGCAGGUAUUAAAUGGGGCAUUAGUUUAAUUCAUUCUGCCAUUCUGUGCCAAACAUUUAGUGACCAUUUCUCAUUUUUCUUUUUAAACUGCACUGGUAUGAUACAAAUAUUGUCAAGUAAAUACGUACCCAAAUAAAUAUUAAAAAUGUCAAGUGUCUUUUUGUUGGCUGCGCAUCUAAAACAAGGAAUAAAACUAAACAAAACUCAUGUUAAC